UAUAGAAUGUUAGCCCCAUAGAGAGCAUCUAUAUUAUAAUAUAUUUUUUGUGUAAAAAUCUGUGAAUUAUAUGAAAUAUAAUAAAACUAAAUGAAACAGCUAUUUGCAUUAGGUAGGGUGGAGGCACUGGUUUUGGCCACUGCUCCCCUUAUGGCCACAUUCAUAUUAUUGGUCAAUUUUUAAACAACAGGCUAUUCUCAACCAAUCAAAACCAAGCUUAUAAAAAUCUGCUGACUCUUAGCUACAGUUUCACCCAGUAGCCAUGCAUACUCUGAUGCAAACAGAUGUGAUGUCAAGGUUUAUUAGUUUGUAUGUUCUAAAAUGUUCACAUUCUUAUGGUAUUUCUUAAGUGCAUCCAUUUAUUUGGAAAUUCACAGAAAAUUUAUUUGAUGACCUAGAAAGAAGGAACUCACUUUCCAGGUAGGUAAACAUUCUAUUUUUUCCAUGUAGUAUGAUUGUAACUGACAUAACCAUAAAAUUAUAAGGUACAUGUGCAUGGCCAUUAGUGGAUCAGUAUUAUCCUUCACUUACUAGUUAUGGCCACUAGGUGGCUAUAAGUGGUGAUAUACUUACCCUCUGCUUAUGGCCACAUUUUGUUUAUGGUAUUAAUUUUUGUUAUUAAUAUAACCACAGGCCUAUUUAAAAGUUGAAAACUAUGAUUUGGCAAUUAUGUAACUCAUGUAGCAUUCUCAAUUAUUAUCUUCGAUAAUAACCUAUUUUCUAUUAACUUAUAUACAAAAUAUUAUGAUGCAUUUUGAGGCAAAAUUAAUAUUUAUAGAGGCAAAAUUAGUAUUUAUAGAGGGUGUUAUGUAUCAUUUGGUUAGGCAGUCUCUAGAAGUCUUAAAUAUUAUUUUCACCUAAAAAGUCUUAAUCCAGGGCCUUAUAAGUUAAGAAAAUGGGGGGAAAAAUUAUAUAUAUUUUUUAAAGACAUGCUAAGUUAUUUAUACCAACCUUAUUUUAUUAUUAUAUAAAACUACACUUUCUUUACAGGAGAAUGGCUUCAAGAAUCAACCGAAAAGGGGGAGUAGAAAAAAUUAAGAAGAGAUUCCAAUAUUCCCCUUCCAAAGUAAGCAGUGCCCUAAAGGCAAUUGAAGAUGGAAUGCGUGUAGCUACAGCAAGUAAGCUAUAUAGUGUUCCAAGGACAACAUUGAGAAAUAAAUUAUCUCACAUUUCUCCAGCAGAAUCUACAGGACAUUGCGGACCUCAUUCUGUCUUAGGGAAAGAUAUAGAGGACAUGUUAGUUCAGUGGAUCAUUGAUUGUGCAAACAUGGGAUUUCCAGUAGACAAAGAAGAUUUGUGCUCUUCAGUGAAAAAACUUUUGGAUGAAGGGAAUGUACAGCAGAAAUUAUUUCUUGAUAACCGUCCUGGUAAGAAGUGGUAUUAUUCUUUUUUAAAGAGACAUCCUGUCAUAUCACAGAAACACGCAGAGUACGUUAACCGAGCUAGAGGUGCAGUGACUGAAGAGAAGAUAAGGGCUUGGUUUAGGGAAGUUUAUACUUCUUUAAAAGAUUAUUCUGAUGUCUUGGAAGACCCCAAUAGGGUGUUUAACAUGGAUGAAACCUGUUUUUGUUUAGUUUCAAAGGGUUUGCUGAUUUUAGGGCCUCGUGGUCAACAGAUUUAUGAUGAAUCUUCCAAUUCAGAUAAGGAAAACAUUACCACAUUGUUUGCAGUGAAUGCAAAUGGCAAGUUUGCUCCACCUCUAACAAUUUAUAAGUAUACACGAAUACCUGCCAACGUAAUAAAAUCUGCUCCCCCUGAAUGGGGUAUUGGAAAAACUGAGAAUGGGUGGAUGACUGGGGAGAGUUUUUUUGAGUAUAUCACAAAUGUUUUUCUACCAUUUUUGAUAAAGUCUGAUAUCAGUCGUCCAGUCAUAGUAUUUCUUGAUGGACAUAGGUCUCAUCUCACCAUACAUCUUAGCAAGUUUUGCAGAGAGAACCAAAUUAUUUUAGUAGCUCUCUAUCCGAACUCUACCCACAUUUUACAGCCACUAGAUGUUGCAGUAUUUGGACCGCUGAAACACAAUUGGAAGAAAAUAGUUAGAAGAUGGCGAAUUGACAACGAUAACAAAGAAAUCACAAAAGCAGAGGUCCCUUUGGCUUUAUCAAAAAUUAUAUACGAACCAAGCAUGCAGAAAAAUGUUAAAGCUGGGUUUGAAUCAACAGGUCUACAUCCUUUUGAUGCAGAUAAAGUUGACUAUACAAAAUGUAUUGUUCGUAAGUUGGCAACCUCUCAGCAAGAUACACAUGUUGAGAAAGAAGAGAUCGUGAAACAUCUUAAGUACUUUGAGUCUAAGAUUGAUGGUGAUCUGCUUCAACAAUUUAGACAAAUGAAAAAAAGGACUCAUGAGUGGGAAGGGAACCCACAUGCCACUUUACUUUUUGAUGUGUGGGAAAAAAUUUUUGAAGACUCUCAGAAAACACCCCGUUGUAAUGAACUAGUGAAUGAACUUGAGGCUGGUCCAGAUGGAAGAGCUGUUCCUGAUCAUGAUUACAGCACGCCACAUCCUGCUGCACAAAUGGAAGCUCAUGAUUCAGAAGGCCAAAGUAUUCCUACAACUGUUGAUAUUUCUUCAGGCAUGGAUCUUGACCUGUCAUUUACAACAGUUUCUAUAGAAAACCUCUUGUCCCCUUCAGUAAGUUUAUCCGAUUUGACAAUUUCUCCUGGUCUCAUGUCCCUCCCGAUUGAUUCACAUAUUCCUUCAACAUCAGCUAUGCCUAUUUCACUUUCCAGUGAUGUAGAAAGACAAUCCACAUCUGAUACUCCUCGAUCCAGUGAUAGUAAAUUAAAAAGCUCAAGUGAACCUACUGCUAUUCAAAUAACCCCUCCAAAAACACUAGCAACAGUUUUUAAAGAUGUGAUUAGAUGGCCAGAUAGUAAAGACUCUAAAGGUAAGAAGAAAAAAUAAAUAAUACCCUCAGUAGUAACAAGUGAUAAGUGGUUGGAAUUUCACACACUAAAGGAAGAGAAUAAGAAAGAGAAGGAGAGACAAAAAAAUGAAAGAAAACUGAAGCAUGAAUUAAAUAGGAAACUGAAAGAAGCGAGCAAGAUACUGAAAGUAGCUAAUAGGAAAACUAAAAUGAAAUCACAGAAGCCUAGUACUUCCAAAUAAAGUUCAAGCAGCUCAGAUGAAGAAUGGGUUGAAAGUGGGGACAGUCUAGAUGAUGUUGAGUUAGGUGAAUGUGAUUUAGAUGAUCCUUUGGACGUAGAGUUGAGUGGUGUGAAAAAUCUUAAAGUAGGAGAUUUUGUUUUGGCAAAAUUUAGUUUUACAGGAAAAAAAUCUCUCUGUGUGACAGAGUACAAGUACGUUGGUGUGAUUUCAAAAAUAAUUUCUGAUUGUGAAUAUGAUAUUCAGUGUUUAAGAUGUAUAAACUCAAAAAAAACUGAAUUUGUGAUCAUAGAGAACGACAUUUCACAAAUCAAUAUUUUGAACAUUAUUGGUAAAUUACCUGAUCCAAUCCUCAAAGAAGAGGGUCGGAUGUUGGUAAAUGUGUUUCCUGGUGCUGUAAAAACUGUUGAAAAACACUAGGAUAUUGUCAUUUCAAACUAGGCUAGGCUUAUUGUCAUGUUUUAAAUUAGCAUAUUUGAAUCGCUUAUUUAUGAAAAGGCAUAAGUCAAUUCACUAAAAGUUGUGGGAAUAUGCAAAAAACUAUAUCAUAUCUGUUAUAAGUUUCAUACAUCAAAAUUAAUAUUUUUUUACUACUCUGUACCUAAAUGUCACUACAUUGACAAGUGCAUGCUUUGCAAGUGUUUCAUUACCUGCGAGAAAAAAAUUGUUAAAUAUCACAGACUUAGGCCCUUUUAUAACUUAACCUUGCAAGUCAACAAAACUUAUGUAAUAAAAUAUUCCAAUCGAAAUACAAUGAUGUAAUUCAACCUAGAUAUAGUUCAGUAAACGUGUACACCAUAUUAUUGAACACUUUACGCCAUUUUCACUGACCUUAUAAUGCAUAACAUCACAGGCAUACCCUCUUUAAACAACACCACAAAAGUUAUGUACUAAAGCAUCAUUUCACUUUAAACAACAGUGAUGUAAGACUACACAUUGUUUUGAAAACAUGUACAAAAGGUGUUAAUAUAACUUCACACUUUGUAUGUUAUUAUGUAACAAUGCCUGUUACAAUGGCAUGGUAGCUCAGUCUGUUUGCUUGGUAGGCCACUGGAUAAUCUCAUCGUAGAAGUCUCUGUGUUCACCUGGAACAUAACGGAGAACCUUCUUUAAGUCAAUAAUCUUCUUUGCAUUAAUUGGCACAUUUUUCGCAGGAUACGCCUUUUGAACAGGAAUAGUAGGAUUCAAACUUUUGUCGGAUGAUUGACGAAGCACAAAAGUAUGUGACACAAGGCCGCCAAUGAAUUCGGAAGCAACUACAGUACCUUUAUGGCGACUGUUGUACUGGAACUCUACAAACCUUGAUACAGCAAAGUCUUGCUUCUGGCUUCGCGGAACUGCUUUACUCUGGCUUUCCAAUGAUAAGCAUGUCUUUUUGUAAUGGCUGGGCCACCAAUUCUUGAAGUCCAACACGUCAUCAGAUGUUACCAUGUUGACUGUGAAUUUUCCAGGAACUCCUGCAGAUGUAAUAAGUUGGCAGACCUCCAUGGGUACAUAGUAUCUAUCAGUCUUUUUAAGAACACGUUUCACCAGUGCAAAAUCACGAUCGCAAGCAAGAUAUGAAUGACCACGUAUCGGAAACCGAUGGAUAAUAAUGACAAAUCUGUUGGUGUCAGUUAUGCAAAGAUGACUUAGCGAAAAGUUCAAAUCAAUCUGAUGGCUGUGGAAUCAGAAGAGGUGUUGAAAAUGGUGCCGGUAGAAGAGCAGCCAAUAGACUUGAGUAAGACUAUGAGGAAAGCUCCUCGAAGUAUGCCACCAUUAAUUCCAAUCAGUAUUCUACGAGCUGGCCUGUAUGAUCACCACCUGUUCUGUAAAAGGAAUGGGAAAAUUAAUUUAGCCUCCAAUCUAUCAUUACCUCCUGGCACAGAAAUAUUUACAAUAAAAGCAAAUGACAAGUUGACUAUGAAUUCCAAGAAACCAAAUGUUGUAAAACAAGUGAGAACUAAAUCUAUUAUAAGUUGCAAUCAAGAGUGUUUAAGUGAAAGACAUUCUGCUUCUUGUAACCAGCACAAUGUUCAUUGUGAUAAAAUUCCUCGAAAACGUCAUUUUGAAAGUGAACAGUUGGAGGACGAUUGGAUCGCAAAACGACUUGACCGUGCUCACAGUGUACCUCACCUGACACCCUUCCCAUUUGCUCUUCAGCGUCAGAAAUCAUUAAGUGAGUCACGAAUCCCUUUGAUAACUACCUUACCAUCCAGCAGUCCAAAAACUGUUUUUUAUUCUCAUGACAGUGAUGUGAGCAGCAAUUUUUGUAAUAGUCCUGAUCAACCUCACCUGAGUAAUUUAUGCCAAAGGUUACUUCGUGAAGACUUAUUAAUAGAUGGGAACUGGUCAAACAAUCAUGAUCUAAGUGUUGUCAAGUCCUCAUAUAACUAUCUCGAUUAUCAUCCAAAACUUUUACAUGAGUGUCAUACUCAGGAUCUGCUGCAGCAAUAUGUGCUUCAACACCAGAAAGAUGAUACAGUUGAACAUGUAAGUAUAAUUAAUGUUUGCACUUUGUUUGCUUAAAGUUAUGAAUAUAUAAAAGUUUAGAUUGAAAAGAUACAGUUAUAGUAAAAAAAUUAUUAUCUAGCAACAUAUUUUUGAUUAUUUUUUUUAUCAAAUCAAAUCACUUGAUUUGCCUAGCAACAAGAAAGUUCUAAUGGUCAUUAUCCACAGAUGUUAAUGCUGCUUUUAUUGAUUCAGGCCCUGUUGUUUCCAUUUUGAGUUUGUUGAAUGUUUCAGAGUUUUUUGCCAAAUGGCUUCAUAGUAUUUGAGUUGUAAGAAUUUUCUACAAUAAUGAAGCUAGAACACAGAAAAUAAAUAAAGUAUAUUGUUUUUCAAUUGCAGGUAUGAAUUUACAAUAGGUAACUGUAAUAUAUUUUUAAAUUUUAUGAUUUUGGGUAGCCUCACAAACUCAUAUCCACCCUUGCACAUCUAAUGUAUUUCAGCGACAGUGCAGACAUCUCCAAAUUAGUUCAUUACUUAUUAUACUACACCAUCCAUUAUCUACCACAAUGUCAGUUUCAUAUUACACUUCAGACACUAGCAAUUAAAAA